rnacentral:ncRNA from 18 species
AUUGAUUUGCCCCCAAACAGAGCCUAGUGGCGCAAGCCUGGUAUCACUUUUGAGUGAACCGCUCGAUCAACACUAAACAAAAUCAGGGCAAGU